GCCCGGGUAGCCUAGCCAGGUAAGGCGCCUGCCUCGAGAGCAGGUGGGCUCACGCCCUCGCAGGUUCAAAUCCUGCCCCGGGCG
rnacentral:tRNA from 1 species